GGGGAAUAUUGGACAAUGGGCGGAAGCCUGAUCCAGCAACGCCGCGUGAGGGAUUGACGGCCUUCGGGUUGUAAACCUCUUUCAGUACUGACGAAGCUCUUUGGGGUGACGGUAGGUACAGAAGAAGCACCGGCCAACUACGUGCCAGCAGCCGCGGUAAUACGUAGGGUGCGAGCGUUGUCCGGAAUUAUUGGGCGUAAAGGGCUCGUAGGCGGUUUGUUGCGUCGGGAGUGAAAACCUCAAGCUUAACUUGGGGCUUGCAUUCGAUACGGGCAGACUUGAGGGAUGCAGGGGAGAACGGAAUUCCUGGUGUAGCGGUGAAAUGCGCAGAUAUCAGGAGGAACACCGGUGGCGAAGGCGGUUCCCUGGGCAUGUUCUGACGCUGAGGAGCGAAAGUGUGGGGAGCGAAC
rnacentral:rRNA from 1 species